rnacentral:rRNA from 1 species
CCUACGGGUGGCAGCAGUGAGGAAUAUUGGUCAAUGGUCGGGAGACUGAACCAGCCAAGCCGCGUGAGGGAGGAAGGUACAGCGUAUCGUAAACUUCUUUUAUCAGGGACGAAGCAAGUGACGGUACCUGAUGACUAAGCCACGCCUUACUACGUGCCAGCAUCCGCGGUAGUACGUAGGUGGCGAGCGUUAUCCGGGUUUACUGGGUUUCAAGGGCGUGUGGGCGGGAGGGUAAGUCAGAUGGGAAAAUUAUGGGCUCCACCCAUAGCCUGCAGUUGAAACUGUCAUUCUUGAGUGCGGGAGAGGCAAUCGGAAUGCGGGGUGUAGCGGUGAAAUGCGUAGAUAUACGGAGGAACACCAGUUGCGAAGGCGGAUUGCCGGACAGUAACUGACGCUGAGGCGCGAAAGCGUGGGGAGCAAACAGGAUUAGAUACCCCAGUAGUC